rnacentral:rRNA from 1 species
UGAGUAACCUGCCCUUGACUCUGGGAUAAGCGUUGGAAACGACGUCUAAUACCGGAUACGAGCUUCAGUCGCAUGACUAGGAGCUGGAAAGAAUUUCGGUCAAGGAUGGACUCGCGGCCUAUCAGCUAGUUGGUGAGGUAAUGGCUCACCAAGGCGACGACGGGUAGCUGGUCUGAGAGGAUGAUCAGCCACAUUGGGACUGAGACACGGCCCAAACUCUACGGGAG